AGUGAACGCUGGCGGUAGGCCUAACACAUGCAAGUCGAACGGCAGCACAGUAAGAGCUUGCUCUUACGGGUGGCGAGUGGCGGACGGGUGAGGAAUACAUCGGAAUCUACUUUUUCGUGGGGGAUAACGUAGGGAAACUUACGCUAAUACCGCAUACGACCUACGGGUGAAAGCAGGGGAUCUUCGGACCUUGCGCGAUUGAAUGAGCCGAUGUCGGAUUAGCUAGUUGGCGGGGUAAAGGCCCACCAAGGCGACGAUCCGUAGCUGGUCUGAGAGGAUGAUCAGCCACACUGGAACUGAGACACGGUCCAGACUCCUACGGGAGGCAGCAGUGGGGAAUAUUGGACAAUGGGCGCAAGCCUGAUCCAGCCAUACCGCGUGGGUGAAGAAGGCCUUCGGGUUGUAAAGCCCUUUUGGUGGGAAAGGAAAGCAGCAGGUUAAUACCCCGCUGUUCUGACGGUACCCAAAGAAUAAGCACCGGCUAACUUCGUG
rnacentral:rRNA from 1 species